GCCCUACUAGCUCAGCUGGACAGAGCGCCAGACUUCUAAUCUGGAUGUCGUGGGUUCGAAUCCCACGUAGGGCC
rnacentral:tRNA from 1 species